GGCUUUACCCCGAAGGGA
rnacentral:snRNA from 1 species